AUUCCUGGAGCUAUCGCCGAUGCUGUCAUCGGUGCUGUCAUCGGUGCUGCCGUGAUCACCAUUUUACUUGUGGUGACCGUGGGCAUCCUUCUCUACAGAAUCCACCGCAAACGCUUCCCCUGGGAAAGCAGUCGCUCUACAAAUGAGACCACAUCUUUGAAUACGGAUGAAGAUCAUGUGAAUAUGGCAAAGGAUUUAAUCGGUCAAGUUAUCGGGCGAGGCCAAAAAGUCAACUGGAAGGACGUCGAGAGGGAGUUGCCAGAGUUGCGAGAGCGGAUCGGCAAAACUCCCUCCCUUUUCCUGCACGAGCUGAAGAGGAGGAAUGUAGUUACAGAAGAGGAGUACUGGAGGGCGUUUACAAUUCCCGACGCCGCCAUGCGCGCGGACUCAAUCCUGUUGCCCGUCAUGAUACGAGGGGAGGACAAACGCCAAAAGCUGCUGGAGAUACUCGAACAACAGCGGAGCAGGGAACAGCAUUUCCUGGACAUGCUGAAGACGAGCCGUGCGUACACUUUACACACUCGUCAGCGUUGCAAUCCAUGAAAUGUCGCUUUUUUCACUUUUGCAGGCCAGAGCACUUCGUAAUAAUAAUUUUAUUAAGCGACAUUUAUACUAAUUAAAUCCCACAGCACUGUACAAAUCCGAUUUUAUAUAGCAAUGACUGAGCAUAUGAACACCCUCAGAAAGUUAAAUAAUAAAAAUAAUAAUUAAAUACAUAAAUAUUACCAAAACUAAAGAGAAACAAACAACAUCGACCAAAAAAAAGUUAUCACAACAGGGAAAUCCUUCACAGGCAGGGCAGUGGUGGAGUGGCCAAAAGAUAUUGCGACUAAUUUAGGCCGAUCUCAGUGGUCACUGAAUACAUAUCAUACUUAUCCCGUUUACAUCAUCAUUAGCAAAGGUCAAUCCACUACUGGAUGAAGACCUUCCCAAGCCACCAAUACCUCCCAUGACUCUGCUAUGCAACG